AGCCUGAUGCAGCCAUGCCGCGUGUAUGAAGAAGGCCUUCGGGUUGUAAAGUACUUUCAGCAGUGAGGAAGGCGGAGUCGUUAAUAGCGGCCUCGUUUGACGUUAGCUGCAGAAGAAGCACCGGCUAACUCCGUGCCAGCAGCCGCGGUAAUACGGAGGGUGCGAGCGUUAAUCGGAAUUACUGGGCGUAAAGCGCAUGCAGGUGGUUUGUUAAGUCAGAUGUGAAAGCCCGGGGCUCAACCUCGGAAUUGCAUUUGAAACUGGCAGACUAGAGUACUGUAGAGGGGGGUAGAAUUUCAGGUGUAGCGGUGAAAUGCGUAGAGAUCUGAAGGAAUACCGGUGGCGAAGGCGGCCCCCUGGACAGAUACUGACACUCAGAUGCGAAAGCGUGGGGAGCAAACAGGAUUAGAUACCCUGGUAGUCCACGCCGUAAACGAUGUCUACUUGGAGGUUGUGGCCUUGAGCCGUGGCUUUCGGAGCUAACGCGUUAAGUAGACCGCCUGG
rnacentral:rRNA from 1 species